rnacentral:rRNA from 1 species
UACGUGAGGGGCGAGCGUUGUCCGGAAUUACUGGGCGUAAAGGGCGCGCAGGGCGGCCCGCUAAGUCCGCUGUGGAAAAGACCGGGGCUCAACCCCGGGGUGUUCAGCAGGAGACUUGGAUGGGCUGGAGUGCCGGAGAGGGAUGCGGAAUACCGUGGUGGUAAGCGGUGGAAUGCGUAGGAAGAUCAGGUGGAACACCGAUGGCGAAGGCAGCACCUGGCCGGAGACUGACGCUGAGGCGGCGAAGACUGGGGGAGCGAACGGG